UGCUGCAGGUUUGGCUGUGAGUCUGAGGGAGGCUCUCGUGGUUCCGCGCGCAGCUCUUUCAACGGCUGCUGGGAGCUGUGAGGAGAGCGGGCGAGCUCGGAAUCCGCGCAAUGGCUGCAGUGACCUAUGAGGAUGUGCAUGUGAACUUCACUCAUGAAGAGUGGGCUUUGCUGGAUCCUUCCCAGAAGAGUCUCUACAAAGAUGUGAUGCUAGAAACAUGCAGGAACCUCACUGCUAUAGGGUAUGGAUUGGAAGACCAUAAUAUUGAAGAACACUAUCAAAAUUCUGGAAGACAUUGGAGGUAUAACAUCCGUCAUUGUGGAUACAAGCCCUGUGAGAAUAAGGGCCAUGGAAAGAAGCAAUGUACCUUUGCAUGUAACAAUUUUCUUCAAACAUAUGAAAG
rnacentral:lncRNA from 1 species